CUCUUGUCUCCCGCCAGGUACCAGGAUUAUUUACGAUCGUAAGUUUUUGAUGGAGUGCCGCAAUUCUCCGGUUGCCAAAACGCCACCUUCUGACCUUCCGGACAUUCCAGGUGUCACCAGCCCUAAUGUGGAGGAGUCGAAGAUUGAGAACAACCAUGUCCAAAACUGUGAUGAGAAAGUGAGCACAGGUGAGGAAGAGCAGUUUGACAUGGACAUCUAAAGCACGUGCCCUGAGAGUGCUUGUCCAGUGAAGAACCAGGACCUUGUCUUGAGGAUUCCCACCAGCCAGGCUUAAAAGUAGCCCAUGCCUUGAGUGCCUUCCUGCUCCUGGGAAAGGCCGUUUACUCCCCUCUGAGAGCAGAGCGUGGCCUGUCACCAGGGCUGAGGCUCAGCCUCUCUGCUUGGGGGCCAACACACCAGCGCAGCUCCUGCUGACGAUGGGCCUUGGAGUGCCGGAGGAGACACUCUCAAUGAUUGUUUUUGUUUCCAGUUUUAUGCUUUUGUUAAUCAUUUUAAUACUGUAAAAGUUACGGAAAUGCAAUACAAGGGAGAAAUAAAAAUCAUUUUGAGUCUCCUGGUUUGGAGAUUAAUGCAAUAAA